UUCUGUACAGCACUUUGAGAUAUCAGCUGAUGUAAGAAGGGCUAUAUAAGUACAUUUGAUUUGAUUUGUAUAUCAAGGAGAAAACCAAUGUCUAGAUGGUCAUCCCAGAUCUGAUGAUGAAAGGACCUCUCCUGACCUCAUUAAGAUGUGUUCAGGGCAAUGAAGGCGAUUGGUAGAAUGGUAAAUGAAAGCUAAAUGGCAAUGUUGUAAAAGUCCUUAGUUUACUUUAUUUAGCAAGAACACAGUGCUCCUUCAACAUAACGUUAGCAUUAAACUCUAAAAGUCCCCUUGGAAAUGAAACUACAAGUAGAGGAAUAGACUUCUAGUUAAAAAUGUAAAAAUACUUUUUUCAACUCAAGUUUUGACUUAUUAUCUGCCUCUACAUGGCACAGUGAUGACAGAAGAUAAUGACACAGACAAGGCCAUUCAUUAGCUGUUAUGAAGGUAAUAAGGUCAUCAGAAAGUGGAACCAUAAUAGCCUUGAUGUCUGCUCUGCACCGUUAACUUUGCCAAACGUUGACUAUGGAAAUGCAUGGCAAUUCCAUUGUCUAGAGGUUGUUCACAGAGAAAUCCAAUGGUUCAACUCUUGGGAUGCUCAACUGCCCCAUUUUCCCUCCCCUGCCUGUCUGUUGUUUACCCAAUAGCCCAGACAAGUGGCGUCCAGAUGGGAUCCUUCCAGCGGCAGCACGUCCAGGGGGAACAGCUCAAAGUAAAGACAGAAUGAAGAAGAGGAAAGAGCGAGAGRGAAUCUAACUCCUCUCGUUCCAAGGGAUACGCACACAGCUCUACAGCAGGAAUCCUAAGCACAAUUCCAUGAAAUUUCAAGGAGUCGAAGGGAGAGAAGAGAGACAAAAAAGUAUUUUGAAUUAUAAAAAUAAACAAACAUGUUUGGACUCAUUGGGGGAGAAUUAAACCCCAGGGAAGACCCUUCCUGCCAGAUCCCAGUGCAUGAUGAAAGACUAUCCCACUUUAAACACAGCCGAUGAAGGAGUCCCCACGGAGAGACCCCAGCACUCCCACUGACGAGCUCAGAGUACAUCCUCUCUCACACAGAGAGAAGAACAUGGAUACUGUGUCUGUGGAUCUCCUUUUCUGGUCAACCAGGAUAUGCGCUAAUGAAAAUGGAUGGAACUCAUGGACAGCUCUCUCUCUCUCUCUCGCUCUCACUAAUCCAGCAGGAGGAAGGUUUGGAGCCCCCGUCCUCCGGCAGAGGAGCCUAUAUGGC